UAAAAGUUGUGGAUGGUACCAACAGAAGCGUUCCUUAGCGUCCCCAUGUUUGGUCCCCCCUCUGUUGGGGUACCUAGCACACAGAUCUGGUACUAAAAGGUGGAGCUGUGAACACUGCAGUCUGAUUGGUCAGUAGAGGACGGUCACUCUGCUCAGGGCUGAGUUGUGUCUGGUUUUGAGGCUCAUGUAACCACUGUUCAUACUGUGGAGAGUUUUAUUAGUAAACUGUAACUAUAAAAUGAAAGGAUGUUUUGCUGCCUCUCACAGCAGCUGGAGUCUGAGAAAAAAUAACUUCAUUCACUGGGCCGACUGCCGGCAACUUUUAAGGUGGAACGUUAACUUGUAAUGUUACUCAAUGCAUGAGUUGAUGACGUGAAUCCAUCAGCACACCUUAAAUUUCACUGUGACAACUUUGACCAUCACUUUAGUUUUUAUAUGACACACACUUUUAGUAAUUACUUUAAAAAUAUAGAUUAAUUUGGAGCGGAUUAUGUGAAGGUCAUAUAUUCUAAUCCUCACUUGCUGUGGGCUACAGCAACACUAAACCCCUGAGCUUGCCUGAGAAGGACUAAAUGCACAAAGCUGCUAUUUUUAAAUAUCCCAUGGAGAGAGACUCUCACUGCAGCCUGUUCUAUUUUGUUGUGAAAAUGUGGGCGUGCAGCCUUGUUCUGUGGACGAUAAACCAGGUGCAGACUUCCAUCUGUGUCACCGCUGAUGAGGAAAUACAGCGAGUGCUGGACGGAGCAGUGAGUGACAACAACCCCGCCCACAUUUAAGAGGACUGUCUGAACAGACUGAGGGUCUAGGUACCAUGUCUGAAGGGUUACUGCUGGUUCCAAAGGUGCUGGACUGAAAGGGUUUGGUGGAGACGGGGCUUGUCAACAGUUUUUUUUUGUUUUUUUUGUUUUUUUUUUUAAAUAUUGUCUCUUUCAGAAUAAGGGAAUAAAACAGAAUAUUUUGUGCGUGUAAACGUGGUCAGUGACGGCAGUUUAUUAGAUGGAUCAUUGAGACAGUCUGAUCAAAGCCAGCUGAGGUUCUCCCUCCACAGUGGACAGUCAUGAAAAGGUAAUAUAAAACAUCUGGAGACCCAUCAGCAGAAUGAAAGGAUGACAGUGCAGAGUCAGUGUGUCUGUACAGAUGUGUGUGUGUGUGUGUGUGUGUGUCUCCCUCUGUGUCACUGAGCACCUGUGGAUGCAGCAGAGUGAGCUCACAGUGAGCUAAUCUUAUCGGCUGCAGCCUCCGUCCUCACACUCACAUCACCACAUGAACGGGCGUCUUUGUGACUCUGGAGCUCAGCUGGCAACGUCUCCACUCCCAACACUGUUUAACACUUUGUGUGCUCACACACACACACACACACACACACACACACACACACACACAGAGUCACUGAUUACUAAAGCUUGUAUUGAUGAGCUGAUAGUGGAACUGUGCAGAGUCCAGAUUAAAAAGUCCUAAUUUUGUCUUUGUCAACUGGAAAAACAUUUUCCCUUUUUUCAGAGACGAUUCAUAAAGUCAGGGGCAGGUUAUGAGACAGUGGCCCCCGGGCACGGGUAAUCAAAAGACCCCUCCACCUCUCCUACAGAAGCAAGACACACAGACUUUAUAGUUAUUUAGCCUCUUUGGUUUGCUGUUCUUGUAGCCUUCCCUCUGUGGUUUUGUCACUUUGUCUCCUCCUUUUGUCUCUUUAUGAUUGUUGAGGCUAAUUUAUACAAUGUAAAAUGCCAUAGGCUGGCGCUAAUAAUGUUAGCAUGUUGUAUUUGUGGGGAAAAUGUGUCCAGAUAAAGACAAGUGUUUGUCUGUGAAUGCUGCGAGUUAUAGUGAAGCUGAUUUGUGUUUGAAACUGUCUCUAUUAAGCCAUGUUUAAUGUGUGUUUAAUGUGUUUGUGUGUUUAAUGUGUGUUUAAUGUGUGUUUAAUUUGUGUUUAAUUUGUGUUUAAUGUGUGUUUA